ACGGUCGUGAUAUUCAAAGUUGCCCUCUUAACCGCUGCUCCUUAACUUGUCCACCUGCUCUGAGGCUGCGGACAUCAAUCCGCCCGAUCGCAUAUGAGGAAUAUCUGUGCCUCUGAACCUUUGUUAAACAGCUGCAAGGUUCCCUUCCCACAUUAACAAUCAACCUGGCUCUUGCAAUGGCGACCGUCUAAAUGGAAGAUCAUAUUGAACGUGGUAGCAGAUCUACAAAAGGCUAAUUUAUCUUGCCACCAACUAGCCAUUAUUCCACUACCUUUAACAAUUAAUAAAGCAAGAACUGUAAAUUCAGUCAAUAUCAAGAUGCUUUUCACAGCUUU